GACGAACGCUGGCGGCGUGCUUAACACAUGCAAGUCGAACGGAAAGGCCUCUUUCGGGGGGUACUCGCGUGGCGAACGGGUGAGUAACACGUGAGUAACCUGCCCUUGACUUUGGGAUAACUUCAGGAAACUGGGGCUAAUACCGGCUAGGAGCUCCUGCUGCAUGGUGGGGGUUGGAAAGUUUCGGCGGUUGGGGAUGGAUUCGCGGGUUAUCAGCUUGUUGGUGGGGUGGUGGCUUACCAAGGCGUUGCCGGGUAGCCGGCCAGUGAGGGUGACCGGCCAUAUUGGGACUGAGGUACGGCCCAGACUCCUACGGGAGGCAGCAGUGGGGAAUAUUGCACAAUGGGUGGAAGCCUGAUGCAGCAACGCCGUGUGCGGGAUGACGGCCUUCGGGUUGUAAACCGCAUUCGCUCAUGACGAAGCUUUGUGUGACGGUAGUGGGUAAAGAAGCACCGGCUAACUACGUG
rnacentral:rRNA from 1 species